CCUGUAGGGCGGGAUUCAGGUCAAAGGGGCAGGACCGCUCCGAAAAGGAGUGGUGCUUGACUUAAGAUCCGGCUUCAGGAGAGAUCCUGUGGCGUAGGCCUUCGUGGGUUCGAAUCCCACCCCCCGCACCA
rnacentral:tRNA from 1 species